CAAGUCGAACGGGAUCCCAGGAGCUUGCUCCUGGGUGAGAGUGGCGAACGGGUGAUUAAUGCGUGACCGACCUGCCCCAUACACCGGAAUAGCUCCUGGAAACGGGUGGUAAUGCCGGAUGCUCCAGUUGACCGCAUGGUCCUCUGGGAAAGAUUCAUCGGUAUGGGAUGGGGUCGCGUCCUAUCAGCUUGAUGGCGGGGUAACGGCCCACCAUGGCUUCGACGGGUAGCCGGCCUGAGAGGGCGACCGGCCACAUUGGGACUGAAAUACGGCCCAGACUCCUACGGGAGGCAGCAGUGGGGAAUAUUGCACAAUGGGCGCAAGCCUGAUGCAGCGACGCCGCGUGCGGGAUGACGGCCUUCGGGUUGUAAACCGCUUUUGACUGGGAGCAAGCCCUUCGGGGUGAGUGUACCUUUCGAAUAAGCACCGGCUAACUACGUGCCAGCAGCCGCGGUAAUACGUAGGGUGCAAGCGUUAUCCGGAAUUAUUGUGCGUAAAGGGCUCGUAGGCGGUUCGUCGCGUCCGGUGUGAAAGUCCAUCGCUUAACGGUGGAUCCGCGCCGGGUACGGGCGGGCUUGAGUGCGGUAGGGGAGACUGGAAUUCCCGGUGUAACGGUGUAAUGUGUAGAUAUCGGGAAGAACACCAAUGGCGAAGGCAGGUCUCUGGG
rnacentral:rRNA from 1 species